UACGGGGGGGGCAAGCGUUGUUCGGAAUUACUGGGCGUAAAGGGCUCGUAGGCGGCCAACUAAGUCAGACGUGAAAUCCCCAGGCUCAACCUGGGAACUGCGUCUGAUACUGGAUGGCUUGAAUCCGGGAGAGGGAUGCAGAAUUCCAGGUGUAGCGGUGAAAUGCGUAGAUAUCAGGAGGAACACCAAUGGCGAAGGCAGCUCGCUGGGACGUGACUGACGCUGAGACGCGAAAGCGUGGGGAGCAAACAGG
rnacentral:rRNA from 1 species